CAAAUUUUAUAGUUUUACUGUAUGACGUCAAGUGGUGACUGAGUCACCUCCUGAGUGCAAAGGGUUAAGUAUCAGAUUUUAUAGUUUUACUGCGGCAAAUCACGUGGUGAGAGUCGCCUCCCGAGUGCAAAGGGUUAAGGCGCCUAAAAUGCGGUACCAUUUUCAUUCAUAGGGUGUCUCAAUAUUAGAGGACUCUUAGGAAGCUUCUUAGCAGCUUGGAUGUUGCCAGUGGGAUCUGGAGUAAAUGUAUUUGUAUAGUCAUGAACCGAGCAACUCUUUCAGGCUAUUCGAUACAGGGACUUUGUCCCUAGAGUUUUAAAGAAUACUUUAGGAUACUGAGGUUGUUUGUUAUUGUACAUGAUUUGUUUCAGAGUUCGUGUAGUGUUUCCAGGGACUAGUGUUCCAAGAAGCUGGUAUUCAUGGGGAAGCAAUUUUGGAGGCUGUUUCGUGUCACUGUAGCAGGAAAUUCAGCUGAAAGCGUUUCGAGGAGAACGGAAGAGGUGGUAAUUCGUUGGAGGAAGGUCCGGUGGGUAGGGAGGAUGCUGGAGAACCUCUCGUCCAAGAUCUUGGAGAGCCAUUUUUGUUCAGUUUGCCCGUGUGGGGGUCGAGCGUUGCCGGAGAAUGCUCGUUUCCAUUCACUCGAAGCUCCGCGAUGUUUGACUGAAAGAUUAUUGUUGCUAAUAUGAAAUGAAAAGUUUCAGGUGCCUCGAGAAAAUUGCAAGGGAAACAAGGUCGUGGAACCAAGAGGAUGCGAGCGUAAAUUGGCGAACUUAGAACGGAAGAUCAAACGACAAUUCAAUGAACAAAUAGAAGAUCGGACCGCUGAUAUAUGCCCGACAACUGUUCGCGAGCAACAAAGCGCCGGAGCGAGCGCGCCCGGCCACGUGUGCAGGAUCGCUGGUCGUGUCUCUUCAUCCCUGGCUUUCUUUUAUCGACGGAACGAUCAUCGAUUGUCACGCCGUUCUUACCUAAAUCAGAGCAGUGCGGAUAAACGGAUGAACACACGGGCGACUAAGUGCAUCGGCCGACCGACUUUCGGAAUCGAAAACCGAACCAGCGGAGGAAGCGGAGGAGAGCAUGCAUCGUUGGGCUGAUCAAACGUAGGCCGUGUCUACUUCCUUGGCGGCCCCGCGGUGUAUUUCGUUCGCUCUUUGAUCGCGACUCGAUCCCAGCUCGAUUUUCCGGUAAAUACACCGAAAAGGAGUCCACCGGGCAAUCUCGCUGAUUGGUUAAUGGCGAUCAAAGCUGAAUUUUGUACAUCGUGCAAUUAUUUGCCCUGCAGUCUGGCUAUUACUAGGUGCGCCAGAUUGCGGCGCGCCGCGGCGUACGCCAAACCGAUCUAUAUCUGUCUACGUCGAUUCAUCCACGAGCGAGCGCGCGUAUGCUUGAAAACGCCUGCAUCGAAAUUGUCAAUUAAUUUUCGCGAUGCGAAUGCCGCUCCUUCGCCGACUCGUCCUGGAAACGCACCGCUCGGUCGUCACCUUUUCCAGCCGAAAUAUCGACUAUCCGCGAAAGUUCUUUCCGAAGGAAAAAGUGUUCAGAACUCUUGGAACAAGGUGAAUUACUGUGUCAGAGAGAUUUAACCCUUUGCAACCGAGAGGUGAGUCACCGCGUGAUUCGAUACAAAACUAUGAAGUUGAAUGUUUCAUAUUUCAAAUUGAAGUUUACAUUGCUACGUGAAAUAGUUAAGUCAAACACCUCUGUUGCUUAAUUUAUCUAUGAAUUAUCGUUGAAUUAGUUUCUAGCAAUAUGACCUAUAUCUCGUCGGAAAAUAUUUCCAUUGAGAAACUUUCGAGUGCAAAGGGCUAAACCUUCACGGAUGUCAACAUUCCGAUACGAAAAUUCCAUAUUUCCAAGACCAAAUCGAA